UUGAGUUUGUGAGAUUUCCUAAAGAUAUGUGCAAGAUGGAACCAGCCAUCAUAAUCCUAUUUUCCUAAAGAUGCUGGAUGACCCCUCCACCUCCAUAGUAGCAGGGGCCUACGCUACUUUCAGGACUCAGUUAAUAUUGUCAAGAUAACUAGCCAUUUUUCUGCAAAUUGAGGCGUAUGUUGAGCACCUGCUAUGUUUCAGCUAUGCUAAGUUAAAAGACACAAAGGUGAGUAAGUUAUGAUCUGUGGACACAGGACUUAGAGUUUUGUGAGGGGAACCAACCUCUAUGGGAUGCUUAUGAUGCCGUGGAGCACAGAAGAGGGAUGCUGGACAUGAAAGAGCCCAGGGUUCUGAAAAACUGCUAAUAGUUCUAAAAGAUUGAAUUGGAUUUCCACUUCUGACCCAGAUGGAUUGAGAAGGAACUGGAUUUACCUUCCUGGCAUCUGAAACAACUUUAAAAACAGGAAGAAUAUAGAAAACAACUGUUCUCAGGCACUGCAUA